AAUCUAUAAUGUAACACAUUAUACAUAUUUAUAUAAUAGUACAUUUUAUUCACGAAAUGAAUACCCAGUAGUCAGUAGUGUAGUUUCGGGAGUUUCUUUGUUUAAAUUGAAUAAGAUUUGUCGCCAUAAAAAAGAGAACUACCAACACCCUACGUGGAGAGAUGUCCAGGGUAUCUGUUGGACAUGGGUUGGCCCAACUUAACUCGGUCGCUCCACUUCUAGCGCCCUCGAAAGUGUUGUAAGCCCGGCAAUGGCAAUCCGCCUAAUCCUGGGCAGGUAAGUAAAAUGCUGUUGUACUUUGCUGGCUGUUUGGUUGGUUGUCGGUAGCCAACGGAUCAGCCAGCGCGACUGUGACAUUGUUCGAAGGCGAAUGUCCGUUAAUAAUAGAACGAUUACCCGACGAGGUCAACAAUUUCCACACAAACAGACAGGAAGAUUGAGGGAUAGAGAAGAUCCAUACGGGGAUGUACGUACUAUCUGCAUGACGAUGGAUGUGAGUGCCCGCAUGGAUAUUCAAAUUGAAAAACGCCGCAGGACACACCGGACAAAGGCUUGUCCUCGUCCUUGUUCUCGUCCAAUGGCCAGUUGUCAGCGAAUGAGCUGUUGAAUGGACUGCUCUACAAGCGGAUUAUUGGAUUUGAGGUUAAGUGCGUUUUCAGUGAUUGCAACUAAAACGAAACGAAAUUGAAA